rnacentral:rRNA from 1 species
GCCCAGACUCCUACGGGAGGCAGCAGUGAGGAAUAUUGGUCAAUGGGCGAGAGCCUGAACCAGCCAAGUCGCGUGAGGGAGUACUGCCCUAUGGGUUGUAAACCUCUUUUGUCGGGGAGCAAAAGCCGGACGUGUCCGGCUGUGAGAGUACCCGAAGAAAAAGCAUCGGCUAACUCCGUGCCAGCAGCCGCGGUAAUACGGAGGAUGCGAGCGUUAUCCGGAUUUAUUGGGUUUAAAGGGUGCGCAGGCGGUCUGUUAAGUCAGCGGUCAAAGCCCGGGGCUCAACCCCGGUCCGCCGUUGAAACUGGCAGUCUCGAGUUGGAGAGAAGUAUGCGGAAUGCGCGGUGUAGCGGUGAAAUGCAUAGAUAUCGCGCAGAACUCCGAUUGCGAAGGCAGCGUGCCGGCUCCACACUGACGCUGAGGCACGAAAGCGUGGGUAUCGAACAGGAUUAGAUACCCGUGUA